rnacentral:lncRNA from 1 species
ACAGUCAGGGCCAGGGAGGAGCAGAAUCCUCAGAGGAAGAUGUGGAUCCUCUCCCAGACAGCCGGGAGGCAGGUGGGACACAGGGAGGAGCAGAUCCUCACUCAGACAAAGAUGGGGAUCCUGCCCUGGGUGGAGGGAGGAGCAGCAUCCUCACUCAGCCAAAGAUGGGGAUCCUCUUGGGACGGCCUGGAGGCAGAUGGGGCACAGGGAGGAGCAGAAUCCUCAGAGGAAGACGCGGAUCCUCCCUCAGACAAAGAUGUGGAUCCUCCCUCAAAGAUGUGGAUCCUCCCUCAGACAAAGAGGCGGAUCCUCCCUCAGACGAAGAUGUGGAUCCUCCCUCAGACGAAGAUGUGGAUCCUCCCUCAGAGGAAGAGGCGGAUCCUCCCUCAGACGAAGAUGUGGAUCCUCCCUCAAAGAUGCAGAUCCUCCCUCAGACGAAGAUGUGGAUCCUCUCGCGGAUGGCCUGGCGGCAGAUGGGGCACACGGUCAGCGCCGUGCUGCAGUCCGGGCAGGAGCCGUGCCCGCACUGGAACACCAGCUUGAUCUGGUCGUCGAUGCAGAUGGGGCAGGUGAUCCUCUCCUCCAUCUGCCGGUA